CAGUAGCCGGGGAAUACGAAGGGUGCAAGCGUUACUCGGAAUUACUGGGCGUAAAGCGUGCGUAGGUGGUGGUUUAAGUCCGUUGUGAAAGCCCUGGGCUCAACCUGGGAAUUGCAGUGGAUACUGGGUCACUAGAGUGUGGUAGAGGAUAGUGGAAUUUCCGGUGUAGCAGUGAAAUGCGUAGAGAUCGGAAGGAACAUCUGUGGCGAAGGCGACUAUCUGGGCCAACACUGACACUGAGGCACGAAAGCGUGGGGAGCAAACAGGAUUAGAUACCCCUGUAGUCCCUGUCUCUUAUACC
rnacentral:rRNA from 1 species